CCCUGAUUUUAAAUACACCACCCAGAACUACCCAGACCAGAGUGAAAGUCUUGCCCCUCAUUGGUUCAGAGUUGCAAAGACGUUAAAAGAAUCAGGGACGUAGCUGUCCUUGAACGUUCAGGGGUCAAGGGUGGUUUGAACUAGCAACAGAGCUGUGGAGCGAAAGUCGAUAAACAACUUGUUUCCCAAGGCCUUUGUGUAGCCCGCCCUUCCUCUCCUCUGCUUUUCCUGCUGCGUCCCAAGGGACCUGCGCCCUGCGCAUCAGUUCUGCUGGAACAAGUUAUGGUAAGGGCAGCUUCGAAAGAAGAAAACAAUUCACAAGUGCCCUUGCCGGUCCCUCCAAUGCAAACAUUUUCCAAAGUAUUUUUUCCACAUUUUUGCAUCUCUUGUUUGAAUAAGUCCCCAUUUACUGCUGCUGGCUGAGCCAGAACAGUCUACACAUCCCAGGGGAGGGCCUGCCCCAAUAGAAAGAAUUCCAGACUAGCUGAAGAAAUAAGUAUUUGGUAAUGAGCGUGCAGAGGACACUGAGCCUGCCUUCCCAAGCUCCACCUUGGGCUUCCUGUGGCUGCUACUGCCAAGAAAACAGCUUCUUAUCCACUCUGGCAGUUAGGGGAAAUGUGACAGCCCUGGAUCUGGUGCCUGCGAAAGGUGUUUACUGGGUCCUGCUCCAGAUGGGAACAUUCAGGCUCAGUCCCCUCUUCUACAUUAAGUCUUCACUCAUCCUUUGACUACACUGCCUUUCUGGGGCCUUUGUCAUCUGGGGCUGCCUGGGGGAACUGAGCCUGCCUCAUCUCCAUGGCUAAUGAAGUGUCCCAAGGCACUGGUUGCCCCCCUCCAUCCCCCUCUAAGUCAUGCUUCUGUGGGAGGGGUCCCAACCAAUCUCCUGUCCUUACUUAAACUUCCUCCUUUCAGAGGAUGACAGAGGCACAUCUUUGGGCACCAGGGCCCCUCCCACAGAGAGGCUGAGUCCUGGCCCUGGGGGUCGAGAGUCUGGGGAGCAAGAGAGCCAGGAAAAAAACUUGCACCCCGGCUCACAGCCUGGCCAUCUUGCUCUGUCCUGCCUGUUAGCUUCAAGCAUAAUAGUCCUCAAGGAAACUGCCUGUGCUGAGAGGUCAGAGGCUAUGACUGGACAUACUGUGUAUUCCCCACCGCUGGAGAGACCACUGCUCACCUGUCUUUCACCUCUCCUUGGGGGUGAAUUGCAUUUUCCAAAGUUAGCAACAAACGGGAUCUCUAACCAACUGAACCUUUGAUCUUUGUACAGCCAGCUCUGACCAUCCUCCUGCAGAGAGGGAGGGGCUAUUUCCCCUUCUCCCAAAUCCAGGGAUGGUGCCACUUUGGGGUAAGUGAUGCUAUUUGACUUCUGAGGCCAAGUUACAAAUGACGAGACAAUUUCUGCCUGGCCCUCUUGGGACUCUCCACUUUGAAAAAAAAAUUUUUUAAUGUUUAUUUUUUGAGAGAGAGAGAGACAGCAUGAGUGGGGGAGGGACAGAGAGAGAAGGAGACAUAGAAUCCAAAGCAGGCUGCAAUCUCUGAGCUGUCAGCACAGAGCCCGAUGCAGGGCUCAAACUCACAAACCAUGAGAUCAUGACCUGAGCCGAAAUCGGAGGCUUAACCAACUGAACCACCCAGGUGCCCCUGGACUCUUUGCUUUGAAAUGCAACUACCAUGCUGUAGAGAGGCCAAACCUGCACAGAAGCCACAUGGAAGUUUCUCAAAGCAGUCCAAGCCAGCAUGUGAGGAGGCAACUCUUCAGGUGAGCAGCCCCAAGUCCAGGGAUCCCCUCAGGCUUGGAGUCCUCCCAGUGAGGUCCCAGAUGCUGUGAACAGAUUCUAGCUUUCCUUGAUGUUGUCUUUCCCAAAUUCUGAUGCUCAGAAACAUAAUAAAAUGAUCUAAGCUGCUAUGUUUGAGGUAACUCAUUAUCAGCAACAGUAACUGCAUCUUUUCUCUUACAGAAACAUCACACUUCCUGCCCCCUUGAAAUCACAUGUGGCCCUGUGACUUGCUGUGGGCAAUGCAAUUUGAGUGGAAAUGAUGUAUGACAGUGUUUUAUUGCUUGGCUCCAUUCUUUGCCUGUUCUUCUGGAAGACAUGGAGAUGUUGUCUCUGUGGGUCACAUUGGACAUACAGGCCAGUCACCCCUCUGCUCUCCUCCAGCCCUGGGCCUAGGAGCUGUCCUGCCCACACCUUCAUCUCAAGACCUUGAAUUUGCCCUUCUGUCUGCCUGGAAACUCUUCACCUGGAUAUCGAUGGGAAAACUGAGGCCCAGAGAUGUUAAAGAGCUUGCUGACAACUGUCAGAGCCUGGAACCAAGAAGCAGCCCAGCCCUAAAGGACAACCAGGCCCAGGAACUUCCCAGAACAGAUAAGCCUGUGGGAUGUGACAUGCUGGGGAGACCAGCGCCCCUCCCUGAGGGCCAGUCCCCGCAGGUUCAUAGGCAGCCCCUAGGCCUGUCAACUGACAGCCAGCACGGGGAGUCACUGGGAGGGAGGACGCCAGGCCCAGGCCCCAGCAUGUGAAUGCUGGGCUGCUGCGGAGGCUGGCAGGCAGGGCGGUGGCCAGCGGCUCCAAGUCAGGUAAUCACACUGAGCACCCUGCACACCCCUACCCCACCUGAUCGCACCAGCCCCCACCUCCCUCAACACCCUCUCUUGAAUUUGGCAAAUUCAAGCUGCUUGGGAAAUGAGCCCUGAGGCUGUCUCCUGUCAAAAGAAAAGUAAGGACAUAAAGAAGGAAGGUAUCCACUGGGACCAUGGGGCCCAGGAAGGGACACUGCCCCACCCUCUCCCCUAAGGCUUCCAUGACCCACCAAGAUUCUACAUCCAGUCACCUGGUCCCUUUCCCUUCCCAACAUACAAUGUCACACUCACAGGCCUGGCUGGAUCAGUACCUCCAGGGCCCAGCCUGUCCCUUGAUGCCUAUGCACUCCCCAUGGGCUUCAAAGCUUUGAGGACAGAGAUGACCAGGUCUCAUCCACACCCACGGUAGGACCCAGUCAGGGUGAGACAGGACCAAACACAAAAGGCCAAGGGCCCCUCCCUUGGGGGCCAUCAGAAGUCACUCAGAAACCCCAAGUCCUUUCCCAAGGUCCCUUCAUCCACAGGGCCUGGGGUCUUUUAAGAAAAGGAGGGUGGGUGUCUGGGUGGCUCAGUUGGUUAAGCGUGGACUUCGGCUCAGGUCAUGAUCUUGAGCUUCCUGAGUUUGAGCCUCACAUUGGGCUCUGUGCUGAUAGCUGGGACCCUGGAGCCUGCUUCAGACUGUGUCUCCCUCUCUCUCUGCCCCUCCCCCACUCAUGUGCUCUUGCUGUCUCAAAAAUAAAUAAACAUUAAAAGAAAAGAAAGAAGGAAGGAAGGAAGGAAGGAAGAAAAGAAAGAAGGAAAGAAAAGAAGGGAGCACAUCAAGUUCUAAAUUGGACCUAAGGGGCUUACCUGGCUUUACCCAUCUCUUUUCACUCUUCUUUUCAUUCAGUGAAAAGAACAAAGGGGCACAGCCUUGUUUUAGUGACCAUCCUCAGAGUAUAUUCAGGACCCACAGCCACAGCAGGCUUGGGAAAUAACUAGGCUCUCCCCAGACUUCCUGGGUCAGAAACUCUGGGAGUGGGGCCAGCACUAGGUUUUUAACAAGCCCUCCAAGGGGGUCUGGGGCAGGUACAGUGUGAGAGCUCCUGGCUAACAGCUUCCCUCUUCCACCCUCAGACACCCCCCCCCCACUCAGACC